GCGUCGGUGGUAUAACGGUUAGCAUAGCUGCCUUCCAAGUAGUUGACUCGGGUUCGACUCCCGGCCGACGCA
rnacentral:tRNA from 1 species